rnacentral:rRNA from 1 species
ACUCCUACGGGAGGCAGCAGUGAGGAAUAUUGGACAAUGGUCGGAAGACUGAUCCAGCCAUGCCGCGUGCAGGAAGACUGCCCUAUGGGUUGUAAACUGCUUUUAUACAGGAAGAAUAAGCUCUACGAGUAGAGUGAUGACGGUACUGUAAGAAUAAGCAUCGGCUAACUCCGUGCCAGCAGCCGCGGUAAUACGGAGGAUGCAAGCGUUAUCCGGAAUCAUUGGGUUUAAAGGGUCCGUAGGCGGGCUAAUAAGUCAGAGGUGAAAGUUUGCCGCUCAACGGUAAAAUUGCCUUUGAUACUGUUAGUCUUGAAUGGUUGUGAAGUGGUUAGAAUAAGUAGUGUAGCGGUGAAAUGCAUAGAUAUUACUUAGAAUACCAAUUGCGAAGGCAGAUCACUAACAACUGAUUGACGCUGAUGGACGAAAGCGU